AUUGAACGCUGGCGGCAGGCCUAACACAUGCAAGUCGAACGGCAGCACAGAAGAGCUUGCUCUUUGGGUGGCGAGUGGCGGACGGGUGAGUAAUGUCUGGGAAACUGCCCGAUGGAGGGGGAUAACUACUGGAAACGGUAGCUAAUACCGCAUAACGUCGCAAGACCAAAGGGGGGGACCUUCGGGCCUCACACCAUCGGAUGUGCCCAGAUGGGAUUAGCUAGUAGGUGGGGUAAUGGCUCACCUAGGCGACGAUCCCUAGCUGGUCUGAGAGGAUGACCAGCCACACUGGAACUGAGACACGGUCCAGACUCCUACGGGAGGCAGCAGUGGGGAAUAUUGCACAAUGGGCGCAAGCCUGAUGCAGCCAUGCCGCGUGUAUGAAGAAGGCCUUCGGGUUGUAAAGUACUUUCAGCGGGGAGGAAGGCGGUGAGGUUAAUAACCUUGCCGAUUGACGUUACCCGCAGAAGAAGCACCGGCUAACUCCGUGCCAGCAGCCGCGGUAACAC
rnacentral:rRNA from 1 species